UGUUCUUCUUCUGCGAUUGCUUUGAGAAUCAAAAACUGAGAGUUUGAACAUUGAAUGAAUAAGAGUAAGAUCUAAGAGGGGUUUCUGGUGGUGAAGAUCGUCAGGUAAUUUAAUUAGGCUCAACUGAAAAGGGGGUUUCAGAGAAAGGACUUAGGGUUUCUCAGAAAGUUGAUUCAAGUUAGUGAUGUACAAGAAGAAUUAAGGAGUGGGUUUAGUCGAUUGAGGAACGGGGUGAAGUGAAUUAGAUGUUGUAGCCGUUCUGGGGAAGAAUUGAGUAAUUAUGGUUCUGUAAAUUGAGGAUGAAUCUUCUUCUUAACCUUAACAUGCUUAACCUUACUAGAGAAAAAGCGUUAUCAGUGGCUAAUUAGGGUUUAUUGAAGAAAGUUAGGGUUUCGAUUGGAGAGGAUGAAGUUGAUUUGCUGUUUUUGGAGGUGAUUAAGGAAACCCCUCUAAACUCUACUGUUUUUUUUACAGGGGAAUUGACAGGGUUAUUUUACUUUUUGAUUUAGGAACCAAAUUAGAAUCACAAAAAACAAGCUUGAUCAAGGUUAUUAGCUAGGGAAAUGUUGUUUAUUGUUUUUACGGAUUCGUUAGAUUAGUAAGUAGCUACAGAUCUUUUCUUUUAUGUGUACAUUAUCUUCUUUGUUCACAGCUUAUAUUGAUCUUUUUUAAGGGAGUCGCAGAUCAUGUGCGCAUCUAGGAACCAAGCUCGGAACGUGCAGGCAGUGUAGAGGUUCAGGGAAGGUUUGUUCUUUCAUUAUCCCGAGAACUGUGAACUGUAAUGAAGAAGUUGAUGAUGCUAUAAAUUGGCUAAAUUGUAAAUUGAUUAAGGUUGCUUAAUGUUUUUUCGCUCAAGUUUAUAAUGGAAGAAUAUUUUAUUACGUUGGUGUAGUGACUAAUGGGACGAAAUUCUAACUUCAUCUC